CGUGGCUCGCUGAGUCCUAUCAAGUUGCCCGUAUGGCGAACGGGUGAGUAACACGUGGGCAAUCUGCCCUUCACUCUGGGACAAGCCCUGGAAACGGGGUCUAAUACCGGAUAUGACCAUCUUGGGCAUCCUUGAUGGUGUAAAGCUCCGGCGGUGAAGGAUGAGCCCGCGGCCUAUCAGCUUGUUGGUGAGGUAAUGGCUCACCAAGGCGACGACGGGUAGCCGGCCUGAGAGGGCGACCGGCCACACUGGGACUGAGACACGGCCCASACUCCUACGGGAGGCAGCAGUGGGGAAUAUUGCACAAUGGGCGAAAGCCUGAUGCAGCGACGCCGCGUGAGGGAUGACGGCCUUCGGGUUGUAAACCUCUUUCASGAKGGAAGAAGCGAAAGUGACGGUACCUGCAGAAGAAGCGCCGGCUAACUACGUGCCAGCAGCCGCGGUAAUACGUAGGGCGCAAGCGUUGUCCGGAAUUAUUGGGCGUAAAGAGCUCGUAUGCGGCUUGUCACGUCGGGUGUGAAAGCCCGGGGCUUAACCCCGGGUCUGCAUUCGAUACGGGCUAGCUAGAGUGUGGUAGGGGAGAUCGKAAUUCCUGGUGUAGCGGUGAAAUGCKCAGAUAUCAGGAGGAACACC
rnacentral:rRNA from 1 species